UCAGAUGGCUGGAUGGCCGCUGCCGCCUUUAUGCGGGAGAGGAAAGUCCGGGCACCACGGAAGAACGGUGCCGGUUAAUGGCCGGCGAAGGUGACUUCAGGGAAAGUGCCACAGAAAGCAAACCGCCUGAYYUYWRGUCAGGUAAGGGUGAAAGGGUGCGGUAAGAGCGCACCGCCCCGCUGGUAACAGGGGGGGCAGGGUAAACCCCACCGGGUGCAAAAUCGAAUAGGAACGUCAGCCGCCGCAAGGGGGCAGCUCUUCUUCCGGAGUGUCGUUCGGGUAGAUUGCAUGAGGAUGCUGGCAACAGUAUCCCUAGAUGAAUGGUCAUCCAUCCGACCGGCUUUGGCCGUUUCGGGGGACAGAACCCGGCUUACAGGCCAUCUGGACAC
rnacentral:RNase_P_RNA from 1 species